CAUCGUCUCAAAUCCAUCUAGUACAUAAGAGUUUAUCAGAACGCAGCCCGUACAUCAAGUCCCAAAACUGAAAUUAAAGACAAAAGGGAAAUCAAGCUCGGUCCUCAAAAUAUGAGGACUCACCACAACUUGAAAUCUCUUUAACAACCUCUAGCCACGAAAUUGAGAACCCUGAAUGUCAGAUCCUACAUUUGAGAAAAUGUAGGCAAGAGUAUACAUUAGUACAAAAAUUCACCAAGUAUGAUAGUCAUGCAUAAAAGUAUGAAAUCAUGCUAAAUCGGACAUUUUCAUGAUAUUCAAAGACCAAGUCAAACAUAAGAUAAGAAGGUCAGAAACAUAAAACGAAAUCAUGAUCAAUGCAAGAUAAACCGUCUUUGAACACAUGUGAGAUACUUCUUGAAGUAACCUUAGUUCAUUAUUAUUGCAAAAAUUAGCCUUAACUGACAUAAAUACCAUGUGAGCUAUAACAUGAUCCCUUGGUGUCUCCCACACCGAAAAGGGUUGUCCUACUUUCCAAGGUAGAACCAUGAAUCUGAGCUAAAGUUGAUCCACUAGUUAAUUUCUAUUUAGACAAUCAUCCAAUGGGGGCACAUAGGUAAGGGAUAAGGAUAUUGCUUUUAGAAACCCGACCUCAACACAGAAGAGCUUCCAUCUCAAUAUCAUCUUGGUUCUAAACAUAAAUCCCACGGAGUAGUUAUUAAUCUUAACUUGUCUCGUGAUCCAUGGAAAGGCAUAAUUAAGUAGCCAAUCCAAGCUAAAAUCAUAUUAUCAUCCAUGGAAAGGUGCAAUUAAGCAACCAAACCAAGAUAGAGUCAUAGUAUAGCUCCUUAGACCAUGCAUGAGAAAACCUUUCACCAUCCAUGAUCUUUUCAUAAUAGCUUCUAAGGCCCACAUUCAUUCACUUUAUGCUAGAGAUGCCCUACUAAUACUAAUGGAAAUAGUUUUGAAAUUGUGGCCUAUAAUCAUUGAUCACAUAUGCGGAUACCAUACUAGUUAAAACCUAAUUUAGGAAAAUAGCUCGAAAACUAUUGAGGGCAAAUCUAGAUGUCAUUCAUGUCAUCUGGCCAAGAUUCAUAGAACAUAUAGACAAUCUCAUCUAUAAGAUUUCUUGAGUAAUAAACAUAACUUAUAAACAUGCAUUCUUUUUAAUAAUUCAUAAGCUUCAUCAUAUUUUCAAAGUCAAAGCAUCUUCAAUUCCAUAACAACAAUCUCAUCAAAAGGACAUGCAUAUUUUCAUAAAUUCAUCUUUCAUAUUUCAUGACCCACAUUAUGUCGAUAGAUGAAAGUCGGAGGUAAAGCUCUUAGCGCACGAUAGAAAAUUAGGUAACGUUCUCAGCGCACGAUAGCAAGGAAGCAAUUGUACCUGAGGAUUCUUCCAAUGGGAAGUCGGUGAGCUCCGAUGAACACAAGCAUUGCAAAAAAAUGGACACGCUUGUUACAGAUGUUAUACAGAAGUUGCAACCAUUAACUUUUGGUAGCUUCCUACCAUCAAAAUUCAAAGCAAUUCCAGAG
rnacentral:lncRNA from 1 species